rnacentral:rRNA from 1 species
AACGUAGGAGACAAACGUUAUCCGGAGUUACUGGGCGUAAAGGGCGUGUAGGUGGUUAUGUAAGUCUGGCGUGAAAUUUUUCGGCUUAACCGGGAAAGGUCGUCGGAUACUGCAAAACUAGAGGACGGUAGAGGCGUGUGGAAUUCCGGGUGUAGUGGUGAAAUGCGUAGAGAUCCGGAGGAACACCGGUGGCGAAGGCGGCAUCCUGGACCAACACUGACACUGAGGAGCGAAAGCCAGGGGAGCAAACGGG